rnacentral:misc_RNA from 1 species
AAGUCGUAACAAGGUUUCCGUAGGUGAACCUGCGGAAGGAUCAUUACUGAAUGAUUUUAUAUCUUAUUUUGUGAAUUUGAGUUCCUAGGAACUUUUUGCUUCGGCCUUAGUACUAGUGACCAAGGCCGGUAGAAAACUCUUUAAACCUUUAGUCUAAACUUGAUUAUUUUAAUUAAUUAAAACUUUCAACAACGGAUCUCUAGGUUCUC